AGUGAACGCUGGCGGUAGGCCUAACACAUGCAAGUCGAACGGCAGCACAGUAAGAGCUUGCUCUUACGGGUGGCGAGUGGCGGACGGGUGAGGAAUACAUCGGAAUCUACUUUUUCGUGGGGGAUAACGUAGGGAAACUUACGCUAAUACCGCAUACGACCUACGGGUGAAAGCAGGGGAUCUUCGGACCUUGCGCGAUUGAAUGAGCCGAUGUCGGAUUAGCUAGUUGGCGGGGUAAAGGCCCACCAAGGCGACGAUCCGUAGCUGGUCUGAGAGGAUGAUCAGCCACACUGGAACUGAGACACGGUCCAGACUCCGACGGGAGGCAGCAGUGGGGAAUAUUGGACGAUGGGCGGAAGCCUGAUCCAGCCAUACCGGGUGGGUGAAGAAGGCCUUCGGGUUGUAAAGCCCUUUUGUUGGGAAAGAAAAGCAGCAGGUUAAUACCCCGCUGUUCUGACGGUACCCAAAGAAUAAGCACCGGCUAACUUCGUG
rnacentral:rRNA from 1 species